GACGAACGCUGGCGGCGUGCCUAAUACAUGCAAGUCGAGCGAAGUUUUUCUGGUGCUUGCACUAGAAAAACUUAGCGGCGAACGGGUGAGUAACACUUAAAGAAACUGCCUCAUAGACGGGGACAACUAUUGGAAACGAUAGCUAAUACCGGAUAACAUUAUUUCUCGCAUGAGAGAUAUUUAAAAGUUGGUUAUGCUAACACUAUGAGAUGGCUUUGCGGUGCAUUAGCUAGUUGGUGGGGUAAAGGCCCACCAAGGCGACAAUGCAUAGCCGACCUGAGAGGGUGAUCGGCCUCACUGGGACUGAGACACGGCCCAUACUCCUACGGGAGGCUUUGUAGGGAAUCUUCCGCAUGGGCGAAAGCCUGACGGAUCAACGCCUCGUGAGUGAAGAAUAUUUCUUUUCUUAAAUCUCUGUUGUUUGGUAAAUUGUGUAUGUGGGAAUUAUUUAUAUUGAGACGGUUCCGAAUCAGAAUGCAUCGGUUAACUACUUGUCGUCUCCUAGGGAUUUCUUAGGUGGCAUGCGUUACUGGAUUUAUUGGUCGUUUGUGCGGUCAUUUGGUAUAAUAAUUUUGAUGAUAAAUGUCCCGGCUCAUGCGGUUAUGGUUUUGUAACUUUUGGUCUUUGUUUUGUGAGUGUUCAUCGUAAUGCUUUUUUUCUAUUAUUUCUUGUGAUUGGAUGUAUUGUGUGGUGAUUGUGUUUUUUUUAUUUUAUUGUUAUGUGAUGUUAUGUAUUGUGUGAUGUUGUUUUUAUGUUCUGUUGUGGUGCGUAUGUGUUAUUUUGAUUUUGGUCUUGUGUAUUGUGUUGCCCUUGUGGAAAAAAAUAAAUAAAAAAUAUACUGUGCCUCUCUGCUACUCCCCCCUGUGCUAGCUUGUGUGAUGAAGCAUGCUGUCCUGUACUUCUGCUUUAUG
rnacentral:rRNA from 1 species